rnacentral:piRNA from 1 species
UACGGUAUUUUACGUCCUUGCAAAGUCUAC